CAAUAGCGUAUAUUAAAGUUGUUGCAGUUAAAAAGCUCGUAGUUGGAUUUCUGGUCGGAAGCUCCUGUCCUCUGAUGAGCGUACAAGUGCGUCCUACCAUCCUUCUGUUAACCUUUAAGGCUUUCGCGGCUUUCUAGGGGCUCAGAUAUUUUACCUUGAGAAAAUUAGAGUGUUUCAGGCAGGCUAGCGCCGGAAUACAUUAGCAUGGAAUAAUGGAAUAGGACUUUUGCCUCUUCUGUUGGUCAUGAGGCUCGAGCAAUGAUUAAUAGGGAUAGUUGGGGGCAUUAGUACUUAACUGUCAGAGGUGAAAUUCUCGGAUUUGUUAAAGACUAACUUAUGCGAAAGCAUUUGCCAAGGAUGUUUUCAUUAA
rnacentral:rRNA from 1 species